UGCAUACAGCAAUUGCUUUGAAAACAUGAUGUUUGAUUUUUUUUUCUAUUAUUAUUAUUAUUAAUAUUACUAUUGUCGACACACAAACAUGUCUUGGAACCUUGGUUUGCUGCUGCGUCUGUCAUUUUGCGGCCCUUGUCAUAAUAAUUGACCUUAUUCCUUCUAAAAUUUAUUGGAAGGGUCAAAACAAUAUAAGUUAUGUGGGUACUUCAUAAUGCAUUAUUAUGAAGAAAAAAAAUUAUGCUUUUUAACUAAUCUUCUGCAGAAACAAUCUGCUGUCUUCAUUUUGGAAACUAAGCUGCCCUAUAAAGUUAAGAUUAUCAUUUGGAUAGUGAUGCUCAAUAAAAUUAACAGUAAUGACUUGUUACAGACUAGAAGGCCUCAUAAGACUGUACCUCCUAAUAUUUGUGUUCUGCGUCACCAAAAUGUAGAAUCUUAGUCAUCUUGUUUGAACUACCUGGUGUCGUGGAUAUGUGGCAGAGAAGUCAUCUUGUUUGAACUACCUGGUGUCAUGGAUAUGUGGCAGAGAUUGUUUGGAGUUGAAUCGUGUCUUGGGUGAUUCCAAGCAGUCUGUAGGUCUGUUUGAAUGGAGAGGAAGGUGAGUACUUUUAGGAUUGAUUACUGUUUGAGCCAAUCGUUAUGGCCUUAUGGGAAACCAUCAAUUGGGUUGAGGAUCAUCUUCUGGGCUGUUUUCAUGGAUGUCUUCUGAAUAUUAUUUCCCUGCUGUCAAUAAGGUUGUUUUCCUUACUUAUCAGUAGUUUCAUGCAGCGGGGCUUUUAGGGGCAUUUCCUUAGCUGAUAUUCAAAGGGAUUGGAAUGCCUUUUUGGCUUCUAGCUUUGUUUUUUUGUUUUGCUGUUUUAGAUGAUGAAUUAUUCUCCAAUUUACUAUUGCACAUUUACUUCUUCCAAAUAUCUUCUUUUCUAUUAUUUAUCUGGAAAAAAAAAGUUCAAAACUGGUGCCUUGGCAUGAUACAUUGACCUCUGGACAUGUCUUGAUACCAUUGAGGUGCAAGAACAUAAAAACUGUAUGAGCAUUCUGUGGGAAAAAAAGAUAUGUUCAAUUCAUUGUACAUUGAUUAGGUAAUCAAUAUGAUGGUUAUUCUUCUGAAUA